rnacentral:sRNA from 2 species
AUGUCCCCCGUGCCUGCCGGUUCCUCCGCGCCGUCCGCACUCACCUGACGGCUGCUCGCUACGUUUUGUUGGCC